rnacentral:rRNA from 1 species
CGGGGAAUAUUGCGCAAUGGACGAAAGUCUGACGCAGCGACGCCGCGUGUGGGAGGAAGCUCUUCGGGGUGUAAACCACUGUCAGGAGGGAAGAACGGCGCCGGUUCGAACAGUUCCGGCGAUUGACGGUACCUCCAAAGGAAGCGCCGGCUAACUCCGUGCCAGCAGCCGCGGUAAGACGGAGGGCGCAAGCGUUGUUCGGAAUUACUGGGCGUAAAGCGCGGGCAGGCGGUCUGUUAAGUCGUUUGUGAAAAUCCGGGGCUCAACCCCGAAAAUGCAUACGAUACUGGCAGGCUGGAGACUGGUAGAGGCUAGCGGAAUUCCUGGUGUAGUGGUGGAAUGCGUAGAUAUCAGGAAGAACACCUGAGGUGAAGACGGGUUGCUGGGCUGACACUGACGCUGAGGCGCGAAAGCCAGGGGAGCAAACGGGAUUAGAUACCCGCGUAGUCCCUGAGCGGGCUGGCAAGGCGCAU